AUUUGAUACUCCAGCAUUGUAAAAGUCCCGAAGUCAGCAUUGUAGUAGAGUGGCAAGGAGCUGGAACAAUGCAAAAUAUGAAAAGAUUAAGCUGGGCACUGAAUACUCUAAGGCUACAGUAUUUCUAUUUCUACCAAGAGGAGUUUCCAGAAAUCAAGCGACAUUACAGUUCAUACUUCUUAUCCACAGGCACCUUCUAAACCAGAAGCAAAGAAUGAUUUUGGAACCCUGCUUUUUCUUUCACCACCUUGGGC